AGAGUUUGAUCCUGGCUCAGGACGAACGCUGGCGGCGUGCCUAACACAUGCAAGUCGAACGGAACUUUUUUAAAGGAUUUCUUCGGAAUGAAUUUGAUUAAGUUUAGUGGCGGACGGGUGAGUAACGCGUGAGUAACCUGCCUCUAAGAGGGGAAUAACAUUCUGAAAAGAAUGCUAAUACCGCAUAAUAUAUAUUUAUCGCAUGGUAGAUAUAUCAAAGAUUUAUCGCUUAGAGAUGGACUCGCGUCCGAUUAGUUAGUUGGUGAGGUAACGGCUCACCAAGACCGCGAUCGGUAGCCGGACUGAGAGGUUGAACGGCCACAUUGGGACUGAGACACGGCCCAGACUCCUACGGGAGGCAGCAGUGGGGGAUAUUGCGCAAUGGGGGAAACCCUGACGCAGCAACGCCGCGUGAAGGAUGAAGGUCUUCGGAUUGUAAACUUCUUUUAUUAAGGACGAAGAAAGUGACGGUACUUAAUGAAUAAGCUCCGGCUAACUACGUGCCAGCAGCCGCGGUAAUACGUAGGGAGCAAGCGUUGUCCGGAUUUACUGGGUGUAAAGGGUGCGUAGGCGGCUUUGCAAGUCAGAUGUGAAAUCUAUGGGCUCAACCCAUAGCCUGCAUUUGAAACUGCAGAGCUUGAGUGAAGUAGAGGCAGGCGGAAUUCCCCGUGUAGCGGUGAAAUGCGUAGAGAUGGGGAGGAACACCAGUGGCGAAGGCGGCCUGCUGGGCUUUAACUGACGCUGAGGCACGAAAGCGUGGGUAGCAAACAGGAUUAGAUACCCUGGUAGUCCACGCUGUAAACGAUGAUUACUAGGUGUGGGGGGACUGACCCCUUCCGUGCCGCAGUUAACACAAUAAGUAAUCCACCUGGGGAGUACGACCGCAAGGUUGA
rnacentral:rRNA from 1 species